rnacentral:rRNA from 1 species
GUCCUGUUUAGUCUGAUGAGUUGUAGCUGAUCUUUUCAGAUAUGUGCACACCUCUAUCUACCACCCAUGUGCACCUUUUGUAGGCUUUUUUGCCUAUGUUUAUUACUCACACACCAUUUUUUUUGUACAAUAAUGUUAUUGAUGAUUUUUACUACUACUUUCAACAACGGAUCUCUUGCUUCUCUCAUCGAUGAACAACGCAACGAAAUGCAAUAAGUAAUGUGAAUUGAAUAAUUCGAUGAAUCAUCUAAUCUUUGAACGCACCUUGCGCUCCUUGUUAUUCCGAGGAGCAUGGCUGUUUGAGUGUCAUUAAAUUAUCCACCUCUUCAAGAGGGUUGUAUUUGGAGUGUUGCUGGAUUAUUGUUGCCUCCUCUUAGAUGAAUUAAGGUUGGGUGUAUGCUUUGGUUUGAUAAUAUCUAUGCCAUCGCUGUAAUGCAAAACAAUCUUGAAAUUUGACCUCAAAUCAAGUAGGACUACCCGCUGAACUUAAUCAUAUCAAUAAGCGGAGGAAAAGAAACUAACAAGGAUUCCCCUAGUAGCUGCGAGUGAAGCGGGAAAAGCUCAAAUUUAAAAUCUGAUAUUCUUUACGGCUGUACGAGUUGUAAUCUAAAGAAGUGCUUUCCGUGCUGGACCGAUACAAAUUCUGCUGA